CAUCCACGGCCCCAGGCCAUCGAGCAGCUCCAGGGGUGCUUGUACACGUUUGAGGCUACCCGGAGAAAAUCGGUUCCGAGGGUGCAAUGGCAAAGAACAGAAAGCUGCCUGUGAACAACUGACUUGAGAGAAGAGGCUGUGGAGUUUGAUGGCAGCCUGGCCCUACUGUGCCAGGAGGGCUGGGGCUCAUGGUCCACCUGAACUGCUCUGGGACUGCUGAAAAAAUCUCUGCCAGAUCCCUUGGAGAGGAAAAUGCACUUGCUGGAUGCAGGAAAAGGAUUUGGGAAAAAGCCAGAAGACAAGGAGGCUUUUUUAAGAGGAGACAGAUAUGCAGCCUUCCCUUACUCAUAAGUAUGGAUCUGAAGAAAGGCAGAUAAGGUGUGCUGAGAGAUGGGACAGCUCGAUGGCAAAUUGCCC